rnacentral:tRNA from 1 species
GGGCCUAUAGCUCAACAGGCAGAGCUACGGACUUUUAAUCCGCAGGUUCCGGGUUCGAGUCCCGGUGGGCCCACCA